UAAUCUGACGGGCUAGGCAGGUUUCCCCUUUCUCCCUCACUGCUCCAUGUGUGUCCCUUUCCAAACUGCUAGCUUGGUCAAAGAGGAUGUCCAUCCCCCACAGAGGAGGACUGGUCUUCAGUCAAGGGUAUAUAAAUAGCUGUGCUCCCCUGCUAAAACCUCCAAACGAGCUCUUGUAAAAAGCGCCUUCAUAAGAACCAAAAAUCAGGUAAGAACUCAGAGUACCUGGUUCUAACUU
rnacentral:snRNA from 1 species